rnacentral:lncRNA from 1 species
GGGCAUUAUAAAACUGGAAAUAUUGAAAAGGCUUUCAAAGAUACUGUUUAACAGUGAAAGAAACGAAGAAGAGGUUACACUCUUGCUCAUUCUUCGGUCUCCCUUGUAGGCUUCCCUUUCUCACAUUCUAAAGAAGCUGCCAUUAGCUUCAAAAAAAAAAAAAAAGUCUCGGGAAGGUGACCAGGGAGGGUGACGUAGAGUUCUGUUAACAGGCUAAUUCAAGAACAGCUGUCAAAACCACACAGAGGAGAGCUAAUCGGGGAGAUAACUAUUUGCUGUGCUGUAGGAGAUUACCAAGAGGGUUAACUGCUGAGCCCAGGUUUUCAGAAGGGCACUGAACUGUUCCAGGGCCUGCUCCAGUUGAGCCACUUGGCCUGAGAAUUCCUGCUCCGAAAGGGCCAUCUGGCUGACCAGGUUCUCCAAACAGCUCUGCGUUUGGAAUACACUGUCUUCCCACUGCUUCCAGUCGGCACGCAGGGCCUGCAUCUCCGUGUGCAUGAGCUCACACCCACUGGCAGUUGUGUUCUGUUUCACUUCGGGAGCCAGCGACUCCACUCUGCUGAGACGGCUUGCACCAAUCUCUCUGGAAUCUAUCAGCUCCUGUAAUGGAAUAUCACCAUGGUAACUGAAGAGCCUGUGAGUCACUUGGACUGCAAGUUUUCAACUGUGUACACAGGGGGACCCUGUCCUGCCAGGAAGUUUUAACAAGUGUGCCACAAGGACCCAGAAUCAAUUCAUCUGUCCACUCUUAAAUUAUAAUAGCGGGAGUUGUCAUCACGAGUGCCUAAGGCUUAUGGCAAAAAAAUCCCGAGAAUCCUCAAUAUCCUGAAACAGACUAAACAGAGACCCUGAAAUCAGGCAUUAUUCGCACACGUGAAAAUGUUUAGUGACUCAAGUGUUUGCCUGUGGUGGAUUGCUCCUGUGAAUGAUUAAACCCAUAUUUCCCUCAAAGUGGAUGCUCAAGUAAAUAAAGAUCGUGGCAGAACUGUGUUCUGCUCACGGUCUCUAUACUCAAUUCAUCUUCUUCAACAGGGUGGUGGCUUAAAUCACACUUCCAUUCUACUAGGAAUCAAGCAGACUCAUCACAGCAAAAGAAUGAGCCCUACUCGAUUCCAAAUACCUCAAUACUAAGUAAACAUUUUUGUAGCAUAUAAAAUGAAUAAUUCAUUCAUAGACUGACUUACUCAAAAGUUUAAAGUAACCUCUAGACUGAGUACAUUUAUUAGUAUUUUUUUACCUUAAAAAAGUCACUAGAAAUUUAACAGUUUAGCUAUAGCCAAGUUAACAAUUUAGCUCGAUCUUAAAGCACACAAAUACUGUAAAGGAAAACAAGAUAAAAUUAAAUCACAUUGUUAAAUUGAUAUAAUUGCAGCAUUUCUGAGAAUAGAUUCUCUUACUAAAAUUUUUCUUGGUGAAAUAAUCAUCCGAUGUUUAUAUAUUUACAUAUCUAUUGCUAAAGGCAGGAUUUUGUUAAUAUUAUUACAAAAUUAUGACUUUACUACCGGAUUAAAUAGAAAUAAAAGAUAAUCAGGCACAAAAAUGUUCAAGAAGAAAAUCAAUGACCAAUUAGCAA